AACGCACAUUGCGCCCCUUGGUAUUCCUUGGGGCAUGCCUGUUCGAGCGUCACUGCAAACCCACUCAUAAAUAUUAUGGUAAUGAUGGAUGUGAAGGGAGGCUACUAAUAUGUCUCAGUCACCCCAUUGAAAUACAUAGGCAGGACAAUUAUCUUUAGCAAAGGACUUAGUAACUGUUUUGAAGACAUAUAUUAGUUUCUUGCUAGGACUUGGACUGACUUCUAUGGAUCUCCAUUAAAGACAAAUUCUGGGUUGACCUCGGAUCAGGUAGGGAUACCCGCUGAACUUAA
rnacentral:misc_RNA from 1 species